AGAACGAACGCUGGCGGCGUGCUUAACACAUGCAAGUCGAACGAGAAGUACGUAGCAAUACGUAUUGUAAAGUGGCGCACGGGUGAGUAACACGUGGGUAAUCUGCCCCCGAGCUUGGGAUAACCCCGCGAAAGCGGGGCUAAUACCGAAUAAGACCACGGGGACCAAAGUCCCUGCGGUAAAAGAUGGCCUCUAUUUAUAAGCUAUCUCUUGAGGAUGAGCCCGCGGCCCAUUAGCUAGUUGGCGGGGUAACGGCCCACCAAGGCAAUGAUGGGUAGCUGGUCUGAGAGGACGAUCAGCCACACUGGAACUGAGACACGGUCCAGACUCCUACGGGAGGCAGCAGUGGGGAAUAUUGCGCAAUGGGCGAAAGCCUGACGCAGCAACGCCGCGUGGGGGAUGAAGGUUUUCGGAUUGUAAACCCCUUUCGAUCGGAACGAAUCUCCUCCUGGUAAAUAAUCAGGAGGGUUGACGGUACCGGGAGAAGAAGCCACGGCUAACUCUGUGCCAGCAGCCGCGGUAAGACAGAGGUGGCGAGCGUUGUUCGGAUUUAUUGGGCGUAAAGCGAACGCAGGUGGUUUGGUAAGUCAGGGGUGAAAGUUCGCAGCUUAACUGCGACACUGCCUUUGAUACUGCCUUUCUUGAGUGCAUGAGGGGGAAGCGGAAUUCCGAGUGUAGAGGUGAAAUUCGUAGAUAUUCGGAGGAACACCGGUGGCGAAGGCGGCUUCCUGGCAUGUAACUGACACUCAUGUUCGAAAGCGUGGGUAGCAAACAGGAUUAGAUACCCUGGUAGUCCACGCCCUAAACGAUGGGCACUAGGUGUGGGAGGUAUCGACCCCUUCCGUGCCGCAGCUAACGCAUUAAGUGCCCCGCCUGGGGAGUACGGCCGCAAGGGUG
rnacentral:rRNA from 1 species